rnacentral:pre_miRNA from 1 species
CCUAUAUAUGUGUGUGUGUGUGUGUGUGUUUGUGUGUGUGCAUAUGUUUGUGUGUUUAGAUACACACACACACACACAUACAUACA